rnacentral:rRNA from 1 species
GAGUUUGAUCGUGGCUCAGAACGAACGCUGGCGGCAUGCCUAACACAUGCAAGUCGAACGGGAUCCAGGCUUCGGCCUGGUGAGAGUGGCGGACGGGUGAGUAACGCGUGGGAACCUGCCCAAUGGUCUGGGAUAACCGCGGGAAACUGCGGCUAAUACCGGAUAAGCCCGAGAGGGGAAAGAUUUAUCGCCGAUGGAGGGGCCCGCGUCCGAUUAGGUAGUUGGUGAGGUAACGGCUCACCAAGCCGACGAUCGGUAGCUGGUCUGAGAGGAUGAUCAGCCACACUGGGACUGAGAUACGGCCCAGACUCCUACGGGAGGCAGCAGUGGGGAAUAUUGGACAAUGGGGGCAACCCUGAUCCAGCAAUGCCGCGUGAGUGAUAAAGGCCUUAGGGUUGUAAAGCUCUUUUGGCGGGACGAUGAUGACGGUACCGCAGAAUAAGCCCCGGCUAACUUCGUGCCAGCAGCCGCCGU